rnacentral:rRNA from 1 species
CAGUAGCCGCGGUAAUACAGAGGAUGCAAGCGUUAUCCGGAAUGAUUGGGCGUAAAGGGUGCGUAGGCGGUUUGGCAAGUCUUGUGUGAAAUCUUCGGGCUCAACCCGAAGCCUGCACGAGAAACUACCGGGCUUGAGUAUUGGAGAGGUGAGUGGAAUUUCCGGUGUAGCGGUGAAAUGCGUAGAUAUCGGAAGGAACACCUGUGGCGAAAGCGGCUCACUGGACAAUAACUGACGCUGAUGCACGAAAGCUAGGGGAGCAAACAGGAUUAGAUACCCCCGUAGUCCCUGUCUCUUAUAC